rnacentral:lncRNA from 1 species
CUCCGCUUACAUAUCCCUCUGGAUACGUAAACUUCAGGAUGCGAACGCAGCAAACCGGAAGUAUUUUUCCGGGUUUCGCAGUGCGCGCAUGCGCAGAAGCGGUCCUCCAGUUGCAAAUUCCUCGGGAUGCAGCCGGACCUCCGGAACGGAUCCCGUUUGCAACCGGAGGUACCACUGUAACCUUCUAUGGGGGGAAAUGAAGGGGAAACACUCCCUGAAAGCAAAAAAUAUCUAGCAUGUCAGGGAGAAAAGUUCUAGACCAAACCAUCCAUUCUACCCACAAGGGUAGACAUCCACUCAUCAAAUUUUACAGGUCGUUGGGCACUUGUUGACUCUGCUAUCUCCUUCCCACCUAAUUCUGCUGUUUUAUAACUUUAAAACAACAAGCCAAACACUCUCUCUCCUGCUGAUGUUCAGGGGAUGAGUGCCAUUGCUUACAUAGCAGGCAGAUGAGGAAAAAGCACUUGGCAGCCAGUGAAGCCAAAAAUUAUGGAAGGAAUUCAAUGUUGUGCUGAUUUGAAAUCACUUAGCAGUGUGCCAGUUGUGCAAGAGAAGUCAUGGGAAGUCGCGAUGGCUCUCGGCACUCUUCUGCUGUAGGUCUGAUCCUGCCCGCUCUGUGCAACCUCUUGCCCCAGCAAGCUUCCACUGGUCCAGCUGUUGCAACACAUUUCAUAUCAUGCCUCUGUUACUCUCAACCUUAUGCCAGCGCAGCAGCCCUCGCACCGGUGCUCAAAGAAUGCCCUUUUACCAAAUCACAUCUCUUAAACUCUGCAGAGCACCCCUAAAGCUGCAAUAUGGAGUACAGGGUCAUAUUUAAGGUGCUGGUUUUGACCUUUAAAGCCCUUCACGGCCUAGGACCCUCGUACCUACAGGACUGCCUCUCCCAGUAUGCCCCAUGGAGGACCUUAAGGUCCAUAAAUAGCAACACCCUAAAGGUCCCGGGCCCUAAGGAAGUCAGAUUAGCCUCAACCAGAGGCAGGGCCUUUUCAACACUGGCCCCGGGCCUGGUGGAACGCUCUGUCUCAUGAGACCAGGGCCCUGCAGGAUCUGAUUUCUUUCUGCAGGGCCUGUAAGACAGAAUUGUUCCACCUGGCCUUUGGCUUGGAAUCAACUUGAUCCCUUUUUCCUUUUUUCUUUCUCCUUCUGUGAUGGAACUCCUAUUUGGGGACUUCCCUGGCUUUUUUCUGGCCCAUGUAGGACAGUCUGGAUAGUUGGCCUUGGUGAAGAUUUGACGUUUUCAUCCCUGAAAUGUUUUUGAUUUGAGUUCCUCCUGAAAUGAGGCUGCAUUUUAAUGUUGUACUAAAUCUUGUUUUUAUGUUGUAUUUUAAUCAAUUGUUUUUACCUGGUGUUAGGCUUCCUGAGCCCAGUCUUGGCUGGGGAGGGCAGUGUAUAAAUAAAAUUUAUUAUUAUUACUAAGAUCGUGACACAUUUUGGUCCCGUGUGCAUGAAAGCAAGUUGGGGCUGUCCCACGGAAGAUGGAGCAAGCUGGUUUUCUCCUGCUCCAGAGGCUAGGACUCAAACCAAUGGAUCCAAGAUGCAAGAAAGGAAAUUCCAGCUAAACAUCAGGAAGAACCUUCUGACAGUAAGAGCUGUUUGACGGUGGAACAGACUCCCUCGGGAAAGUUGUGGACUUUCCUUCCUUGGAGGUUUUUAAGCAGAGGUUGCACGACCAUCUGUCCUGGGUGCUUUAGUUGAGAUUUCUGCAUUGUAGGGUGUUGGACCAGAUGACCCUCAGAGACCCUGCCAGCUCUACGAUUCUAUGAUCAAAUGCAAAAGAAAGAAGAAAAAAUUAACACGUCUCUAAACCCCACAGCUAAUUCUCCCCUGGCCUCCUCGCUGGCCCAAGUAGGACCAAUUCAGCCAGCUAGCCCUGGGGAUUAUCUAAUUGAUUUUUGAUUUUUGAAUUUACUGUUAUUCAUGUUUUUAUACUGUAUUUUAUGCUGCUUUUAUAAUUAAGUGUUUUAAAGUGUUUUAAAUUUGUUGUUUGCCGCCCUGAGCCCAGUUUUUGAACCUGGAAGGGCGGGGUAUAAUAAUAAUAAUAAUAAUAAUAAUAAUAAUAAUAAUAAUAAUAAUUUAUUUAUACCCCGCCCAUCUGGCUGAGUUUCCCCAGCCACUCUAGGCGGCUUCCAAUCAAGUGUUAAAAACAAUACAGCAU